UUCCAUCUCUUCAGCAGCUGUACAUCAGGGCUCCAGUGGCCUAAUGGAUAAGGCAUUGGCUUCCGAAGCCAGAGAUUGUGGGUUCAAGUCCCAUCUGGGGUGAAGAGCUGCUUCCUGUAUAUUGCAAGGAAAGGGCCUUAUUUUCAACCAGGAAGCUGGGAGAUGUUUCUUUGUUUGAGCACAAAGUCCUGGAUCUUGGGAACAAUCACCAAGGAUAUUAGAAGGCUCAGUCUGGUGACCUAAUGGAUGCAACCACACACCCCCAUCCCAGGGCAGUCCCAUCUGAGAGCCAGGAUCCAUGGAGCAACAUUCCCCUCCUGCCUUGACAGAAACGCAAUGGAGGAGAAUCUCACAUCCCUGAGCUGCCAGGUGACAGUGGCAGGAAGAAAACGCACUGCAAUGAAAUUUAAAAACCACUCAUAAAUAAUUUAACAAUGAGAAGUAAUUAAAUAAAAAAAAUCCAAUGGACA